rnacentral:rRNA from 1 species
CAGCCGCCGCGGGAAUACGUAGGGUGCGAGCGUUAAUCGGAAUACUGGGCGUAAAGCGUGCGCAGGCGGUUGUGUAAGACAGGUGUGAAAUCCCCGGGCUUAACCUGGGAACUGCGCUUGUGACUGCACAGCUAGAGUAUGGCAGAGGGGGGUGGAAUUCCACGUGUAGCAGUGAAAUGCGUAGAGAUGUGGAGGAACACCGAUGGCGAAGGCAGCCCCCUGGGCCAAUACUGACGCUCAUGCACGAAAGCGCGGGGAGCAGACAGGAUUAGAUACCCGAGUAGUCCCUGUCUCUUAUACA